UGAAGACUUUUGCAGACAUACAAAAGGUGAAAGAAUUCUUCAGCAGCAAAUUCACACUAUAAGAAACGGUAAAGGAAGUCCUUCAGGGAGAAAGAAAAUGACAUCACAGGGAAAUAUGGAUCUGCACAAAGGAAUAAAGAGCACCAGCAAUGGUAAGCAGCAUCUUGUGUGGGGUACCUGUAACUCAAAACUGUCAACAGCGUAGACCAAAAAGGCUCCAAGAAAAGCCUGCUUCCCCCAACCAAGGAGUCAGGCGGGAUCAAGGCUCCUGCUUCACUAUCCCGAGGAACCCACAGGAGGUAGCCAAACGUGAAGACAUCCCGCAUCCCCACACCCUGCUUCAGAGGAUGUCAUGUGGUGGUGUGUGGGUGAGUGAUUGCUUCACCCUGUAAAACGGGAGAGAAGUGACACGAGUGACACGUAGCACCUCUGGGAGGAUGCUUGGAAGAGCUGAUGCCACAUUCCCUUCACCCCAACAUGAUGCCUGGCAACGCUCAGGAUGGUAGAGGCUCCAUCAGCCUGUGUCCUCGAAUGGGGAGUAUGGGAAGGGAAGCCUCCCACCGAACCAUGGUGGACUCGCAGUAUGAGACUUCAUCCACUUUGCCUGUAAAGCCACUGAGCGCUGGGGUUUGUUUGUCACUGCAGUACAACCACAUUCACCCUGAGAAGCUGGUGAGACAAACCAGUCUGUGGGAGAAAACCAAAGUCCUCAGACUACAGAUGGUAAGUACAUGCUUGAGCAACUAAGGGUCCUCAGAAGGGGCUGGGUAAGGGUGCCCGGAGGAGCAUUGGGGCUGGACCCUGAGGGCUAAUCAGGGUCUAGAGGAUGCCAAGGAAUGGACCAGACAUGCUGGAGGUAUCCCCGGAGGUGGCUGGAUGUGGAGUGAGGCAGAGGAUAGAGAUAUCCGAAAACACAUGUAAAUGCCUGGAAAAGAAGGAGCUGGCCACAGUCUUAGAAGAGCAGGUAUCCAACUUCUGUCUUCUGUAGGCUACAUGCAUGUGAGAGACAAGUUCAUCUCAGACUCAGUGCCAUCUUGUCACUAUUGGGGAUGAGUGGCACAGGACCUGGUGUGAUCAGAAGAAAGGGGCCAGGGGAUGGAGGUCUCAUCUUUCUAGAUCCUUCUUCCUUCCUCCAGGAAACCCUCUCUGAUCAGCCCACCCGGAGCAGCCUUCUCCUGCCCCUACACUCCUCCAGUCCUCUUUCUUCUGAAGGAAGGAGGGUAUGUGGGGUGUGAAAAGAGAGCAAAGCUCUGAAAUCAGACAGACGUAGUUCGAAUCCUAGUUUCCUUCCUUCCGUCGUCCAACCAGUAGGUGUGUCAGGCACUGUUCCAUGUCCUGAAGAUGUACUGGGAGCAAGACCCUGGCCCUCCUGGAUCUUCUAUUCAAGCAAGAAAGUAAGUCAGCAACAAAAAUAACAACACAAAAAAGACAACAAUUUGAAGGUGUGAGGCAGAUGAAGAAAAUAAACAAGGGGCCAAGAUGAAGAAUACCAGAGGGACCCAGUUUAGAUGAGUUGGUUAGUGACAGCCACUUCAAACUGGCAACACUUAAAACUGACACAUGAAGAGCAGGGGAGAAUAUUUCAGGUAAGAAGAAGGGCAUGUGCGAGACCUUUAAGUGGGAAAGAGCUUGGGUGGGAGAGGAAGGAGGAACAGAAAGAAAAGCGGUGUCUCUGGAAAGUAUCCUGAGCUGAGGAUGGGCGGUAGAGCUGUGCCUUCCAGGCCAUGUUAAGGGUGGAUUCAACAUAUAUUUUAGAGAACAAAUCGACAAAACUUAACUGAUGGCUUAGAUAAGGGGAGAAGAAAGAGAGGUUUAAGUAACCUGGGGAAGGGGUGCCAUUUACUAAGAUGAGAAAGGCUGGGUGGAGGAUGGGAUAAGUCUAGAGGGAGAAAUUGCACUUGCUAACAUGCUAAUUUCGCAAUGUCUGAGGUCUCCAGGUGGAAAUGUCACUGGGCAACGGGAACUGCAAAUUCCAAGGAAGCUCAAAGGAGAAGUCCAGGUUGCGGAUAUAGAUUUGGGAUCAUUGGCAUAAGAAUGGUGGUUAAAUCCAUGGGACUGCGUGGCAUCACUUGGGAAGUGAGUGUGGAAAAUGAAGAGGGCCCGGGGGGGUCUAAGGAAGACCAACAUUCAGGGGUCAGAAAAAGGAGGACCCCACAAAGAAGGACUAGUCGCUGAAGUCAGAGGAAAACCUGGAGAGUGUUCCUUGCUAGGAUUAACUGAGAGAGGAGAGUGUUUCCAGAAGGAGGGAGUGGUCAACUGGGACAAAGGACUAAGACAAAGUCUCAGAGUUGGGCUGGACCUGGCAAGAUGGGGGUCAUUGGUGACUUUGGCUGAGCAAUGUCAGGAGAGCACUGGGGGCAGAGCCAGGCUGCAGUGGGUCCAGGAGUGCACAAGGUGAGAAAGUGGAAACCAUCUGUGUACAUCGAACUCUGGAGAAAUUUGGCUCCCACAGCAAAUUGAGGAAUUAGAAGGUAGCUGUCAAGGGGAGGGGCUGGAUACGUGAGGACUGGAGAGCAUGUCUGUGUGCUGAUUGCAACUGCCUGGAGAAAGGAAGGGACUGACUUGAAAGGGAGAGCUGGCACAACUGAGGAAGCGAAGUUCUUGAGUAGCUGGAGGGGACGAAUCAAGAGCCCAGAUGGAGAGGCUUUCCUCCAUCAGCGGAGGAGGAAGAAGCAGAAGAGGAGCCGGUUUGGGCGGGUUUGUGAGUUUGGUGUUGGGAAGUGUAGGUCUCAGUGAAGCUAAGUAACGGGAUCACUGGGAACUGGAGGGAAAGCACAGGGGGCAGGAGGAGGUGUGGAGGAAAGAGAAGAAAGGAGAAUUGUCACCGGGAGUGGGCAGUGGACUUGAGAGAACUGUGGGGUUGCCUGGCAGUACUGAGGGCCAACGUGCAGACUGAGGCGGUGAAUUUAGAGUCGAGCAGCCAGCCCUGUUGCGUGAUUAUCUCCAAAA